CUGGUUUUGACAACAUUCCCCUCACUUAAGAGAUAUUUCUCAGGUGAUGAAACCAAUUUUUGGUCAGCUGUCACGACCAACAAAUUAAUUCACCUAAUGUUAUUUUCAAUUGGGAAUGAAAAAAUUAAUUAUUUGGCCCAGAAAACAUGUAGUUUUGGAAGUCCUAACUCAGAGGGUGGUGCUCCCCAAUGGCUCAUGGUCUCCAGUAGGCGGGACCUGAUGAUUUCCUUUACUUUAAUAAAAUCAGGUUGUUGAUUUACAUAUAAUUUGAGACUUUAUACAUAGCAUUUUUCUGUCCUCUCAUUUAUUGCUUUUGAUCCUGCAGGUACAUGAACACAUGCAAUGAAGACAGGCAUGCUCUGAUUUUAGGAUGACUGCAUUCCCAAGAAUGGUAACUCAUGUUGUUGCAGUUUUUUACUCUGGAUCAGGUUAAAACUUGCCCCUCGAGACUCAACUCUGGCUGCAGUGUCAGUGUUGUGCAGUAAGUGGGCGAACAGUAAGUACCUGGCUCACGAUGGCUCAAUUUCCACUGUGUGGUGGACUUUGGGUAAGGAACCGGGCCAGAUAUUUAGCCUACAAUGGAAUUGAUAUCAGCUAUAAUCCAUAAAAUUUAGUUACAGCAACAAAACAUCAGUGCUUGAAGUCUCACUGCUAUUGUUUCAUAUUUCCUGUAAUUCAACAUAUUAAUAGCAGUAAUCAUAAUCAUCUGUUGCUUGGUUGCACCCUUUUUCAAUUACUUUUGUUUCUCCAUUUUUAAAACUCUAUCCUGCACUUUCUUCUUGAGUUUUAAUACGUGUUAGGUGACUACAGAAACCUUUUAAUGAUGUUGUUGUUCCAGUCUAAUAACCAGUUCCUAAAAAUCAAAUGUAAACUCAGAGCUGUGAGUAAGUGGUUUUGUAAUAACAGGGGCCUGGAGUGUUCCUCUGAUGGACCUGAUAUUCCUGUGGAGCAGCAGCAGAGUCUCUUGAGCAGGUGAGCUGACGUGUUUGUCCUCUUAGCCUUGGUUGAACUUGCCCCUUGAGGCGUUGCAGUCCGACUUUGUGUCGAUCCUGUGUCAUGAGGUGGCAGAGAAUAAACGGUCUACAUCAUCAGAUUUGUUCGGUUCCCAUCACAGCGGGGAUUUGACAUGAUGUUUGUACCUACAAAAUCUAAAUAAAAUGUUUGUCUGCAUAAAUCUAAGGCUUUUAUUGUCAAGUGUGUAAUUCUUUUUUGUCUUCUUUAUUAUGAAGGAGGAAGUCUGGAGCCGCCUUCAAAUGAGAGUUUGAGACAGCCCUUCAUCAGUACUGGUUUUUCUAAUAUUUUGACUAAAAGGUAAAAUUUUGAAAUGCAUAUUCAAACUUUAAGUUAAAUGUUGCCAUAGUUAUUAGUUUAAAGCUUAUAUCAUCAACAUCCUAUCAUAUUUAGUGAAGUAUUGUUUCAUUAUGAUUAAAAAAUGUGAAAUACCUGAAACCAUUUCUUUAAUAAAGUAACAUCUGUGACCAACUUU
rnacentral:lncRNA from 1 species